CAUGGAGCAACAGAGAAUGCAAACAUUUCCAGAUUAUGACGCUGAGAUAGCUAAAGUGGAGAAUUUGGGUUUGGUAGGACCUGGUAUGGCCUUGAAAAAGAGAGCCAACUGGAUUUCCUUUAUAAAGAUUAAGCCAAAAUGUGAUCCUUGGCAAAAGAAACUUUUGACCAAACUAAAAGAACGGAGAACAGAUGUAUUAAUGCAACUCCAAGCAAACUUUUUGAAGAUUUCCGACCCUGAGAGAGUAGUGCAAGUGCUCCAAGAUCAUGCUGCAAAAACAGUCUCGCUGGCUUCAUCUCAUCCUACAUUUGUGGCUUCCCAGGGUUUGCAUCAGGCCAACUAUGACCAAAUCUGGGAGACUAUUUAUAGCAACAUGAACCUCUACCAGAAUGAAAACAUGAAGGAAGAUGAUCUUUCAGUGGAACGAGAUGAAAAUGACCCAGUACAAAUAAGUCUUAGCCCGUGUGCUAAUGAGCCUGUCAAGCAGAAGAAAGAGAGUAAAAUUAAAUCAUUUAUUGGUGACUCAAGGAAAUGGAUUAAACACUGUGGAGAAAAUUGAGUGACUGAUUAAUAUGUAGGUUACAUAUUAACUCAAAAAUAUUUGAAGCUGAACAGCAGACCAGAUAACUGAUGUUUCACCCUAGGACUGAAUUUUUAAUGAGAGUGAUUGCUAAGAGAAAUUUCUUUUUAAAUUUAUACAUAUAGAGCCAUUAUUUUCCUUCCAGUGCAUUUUUAAAAAGUGGCUAUUGUGAAGUUAAAUACAAUGACUUCAGUGUGGUAUAUGUGAAUUUUUUGAACCACUUUGAGGAGAAAGCCAUUUGUUCUGUUUUUCCUGCCUACUGAAGGUACAGUUAUGCAG